UCUCCACCCCGCGUAGCCAUAAGAGGACUGGCCACCCCUCAGAGCCUGGUUCCUCUCUAGAUUUAUAAUCUCCACCCCGCGUAGCCAUAAGAGGACUGGCCACCCCUCAGAGCCUGGUUCCUCUCUAGGUUUAUAAUCUCCACCCCGCGUAGCCAUAAGAGGACUGGCCACCCCUCAGAGCCUGGUUCCUCUCUAGGUUUAUAAUCUCCACCCCGCGUAGCCAUAAGAGGACUGGCCACCCCUCAGAGCCUGGUUCCUCUCUAGGUUUAUAAUCUCCACCCCGCGUAGCCAGAAGAGGACUGGCCACCCCUCAGAGCCUGGUUCCUCUCUAGGUUUAUAAUCUCCACCCCGCGUAGCCAUAAGAGGACUGGCCACCCCUCAGAGCCUGGUUCCUCUCUAGGUUUAUAAUCUCCACCCCGCGUAGCCAUAAGAGGACUGGCCACCCCUCAGAGCCUGGUUCCUCUCUAGGUUUAUAAUCUCCACCCCGCGUAGCCAUAAGAGGACUGGCCACCCCUCAGAGCCUGGUUCCUCUCUAGGUUUAUAAUCUCCACCCCGCGUAGCCAGAAGAGGACUGGCCACCCCUCAGAGCCUGGUUCCUCUCUAGGUUUAUAAUCUCCACCCCGCGUAGCCAUAAGAGGACUGGCCACCCCUCAGAGCCUGGUUCCUCUCUAGGUUUAUAAUCUCCACCCCGCGUAGCCAUAAGAGGACUGGCCACCCCUCAGAGCCUGGUUCCUCUCUAGGUUUAUAAUCUCCACCCCGCGUAGCCAGAAGAGGACUGGCCACCCCUCAGAGCCUGGUUCCUCUCUAGGUUUAUAAUCUCCACCCCGCGUAGCCAUAAGAGGACUGGCCACCCCUCAGAGCCUGGUUCCUCUCUAGGUUUAUAAUCUCCACCCGCGUAGCCAUAAGAGGACUGGCCACCCCUCAGAGCCUGGUUCCUCUCUAGGUUUAUAAUCUCCACCCCGCGUAGCCAUAAGAGGACUGGCCACCCCUCAGAGCCUGGUUCCUCUCUAGGUUUAUAAUCUCCACCCGCGUAGCCAUAAGAGGACUGGCCACCCCUCAGAGCCUGGUUCCUCUCUAGGUUUAUAAUCUCCACCCCGCGUAGCCAUAAGAGGACUG